AUCCGUCCGCUCCGGCACUCCACAUUCUGCCGAGAGCGGGACGAAAAAAGGAGGAGAACCCCGCCUGGCUCGCGGUGCGGCAGUGUGGAGACCUGCCACAGAGGCGGACCGGCCCCGGCCGGCCGUGAGGGAACAGCUGCGGAGGCGCUGUUUCCAGAGCCUGAUAUCAUGGCA
rfam:Oscillibacter sp. KLE 1745 genomic scaffold Scaffold378, whole genome shotgun sequence.